rnacentral:rRNA from 1 species
GGCGAAAGCCUGAUGCAGCAACGCCGCGUGAGCGAUGAAGGCCUUUGGGUCGUAAAGCUCUGUCCUUGGGGAAGAAUAAAUGACGGUACCCUUGGAGGAAGCCCCGGCUAACUACGUGCCAGCAGCCGCGGUAAUACGUAGGGGGCAAGCGUUAUCCGGAAUUAUUGGGCGUAAAGAGUGCGUAGGUGGUUUUGUAAGCGCGGGGUGAAAGGCGAUGGCUCAACUAUUGUAAGCCCUGCGAACUGCAAGACUUGAGUGCAGGAGAGGAAAGUGGAAUUCCUAGUGUAGCGGUGAAAUGCGUAGAUAUUAGGAGGAACACCAGUGGCGAAGGCGACUUUCUGGACUGUAACUGACACUGAGGCACGAAAGCGUGGGGAGCAAACAGGAUUAGAUACCCUGGUAG